CCUACGGGGGGCAGCAGUGGGGAAUAUUGCACAAUGGGCGCAAGCCUGAUGCAGCCAUGCCGCGUGUGUGAAGAAGGCCUUCGGGUUGUAAAGCACUUUCAGCGGGGAGGAAGGCGGUGAGGUUAAUAACCUCAUCGAUUGACGUUACCCGCAGAAGAAGCACCGGCUAACUCCGUGCCAGCAGCCGCGGUAAUACGGAGGGUGCAAGCGUUAAUCGGAAUUACUGGGCGUAAAGCGCACGCAGGCGGUCUGUCAAGUCGGAUGUGAAAUCCCCGGGCUCAACCUGGGAACUGCAUUCGAAAAUGGCAGGCUAGAGUCUUGUAGAGGGGGGUAGAAUUCCAGGUGUAGCGGUGAAAUGCGUAGAGAUCUGGAGGAAUACCGGUGGCGAAGGCGACCCCCUGGACAAAGACUGACGCUCAGGUGCGAAAGCGUGGGGAGCAAACAGGAUUAGAUACCCCAGUAGUC
rnacentral:rRNA from 1 species